ensembl:lncRNA
GUCGUCCAGCCACUCUUUGAACACUUCCAGUGACGUGAAACUCUUUUUUUUCUAGUAGGUUUUUCUAUUGUAGAUUAUACUCUCUCGCCUGGACAACUGCAGUACCCUGACUCCCACCCAGCAGCUAGAGACCGCCCGUUAAAACCUCAAAUGUGAUCAUGUCACUCCUCUGCUCCGAACUCGGCAAUGGCUUUUUUUUUAAAUAAUUAAAACCUUCAGCUUCAAAGGGAACACGCGUCCUCAGUGUGGCCAAUCAGAGUAUUGCAUCACUCUGGCCCUACUGAUUGGUUCAGCAGCAGACACAGGACCCAGGGCAAGCCAAUGAGACUUCAUCCUAGGACGUUUGCUGAAACUAAGGAGAUAGAGGCUUUUUCUUCCAUCUGCUAGAGUGAUUCCAGGGAAGUGUGGAGCUAUCAAAGACUUACCGGGGAAUGCUUGUCUGAAAAUGAGGCCAACUCAGAGGAAAACAGAGCUGAGAGAUGGAGAGUGGAUCCCAGCAACGUUGUUUGAGCUCCUGGACCCAGCCAUGGCUGAAUGCAGACCUGAGUCACCCAUUCUUUCGCUCAGGCACCAGCUGUUACUGUGGCAAGCGGCCGGCAACUCCAGCUGCCAAGAGACCUGGGAGAGACGCGGGCAUUUCCAAGACUGUUCCUGCCCUGAGGUUCACGGCUUUGUCUUCAUCUAGCAGCUGUGACCCCCAUCUGUCUGAGCCCCUCUUUCCAAAGCCUCCUUGGGUGGCAGGGAAACUCCCAGGGCUUGGGAGGCCAUAGGACGAAGGAGUGGGGAGAAAUUAGCAAGUCUGAGACUGCAGGAACAAGCCUUGUCCUUACGCUGACACUGAAAAUAGCUUUUGUUUCCAGUGGGUGCCAGCUGGGUCACAGUCUUACUGCCAUCUCCCUCUGGUUCGGGGCUUCCCAAACUUCUCCUAAAUACGUUCUUCUCAAGGUUGCUCCAUUUUCCUUACCUGCAGCCCCCUUGUUUUUGACUCUCCACUUCAUCCCUUUCUUUACUGAAAUAAAUUUAUUUUAAAAGGAAGCUUAUACUUACA